rnacentral:rRNA from 1 species
AGAGUUUGAUCCUGGCUCAGGAUGAACGCUGGCGGCGUGCUUAACACAUGCAAGUCGAACGAACCUUCGGGUUAGUGGCGGACGGGUGAGUAACGCGUGAGAAUCUGCCCUCAGGAGGGGGAUAACGGCUGGAAACGGCCGCUAAUACCCCAUAUGCCGAGAGGUGAAAUGAAUUUCGCCUGAGGAUGAGCUCGCGUCUGAUUAGCUAGUUGGUGUGGUAAAGGCUCACCAAGGCAUCGAUCAGUAGCUGGUCUGAGAGGAUGAUCAGCCACACUGGGACUGAGACACGGCCCAGACUCCUACGGGAGGCAGCAGUGGGGAAUUUUCCGCAAUGGGCGCAAGCCUGACGGAGCAACGCCGCGUGAGGGAUGAAGGCCUCUGGGCUGUAAACCUCUUUUAUCAAGGAAGAAGAUCUGACGGUACUUGAUGAAUAAGCCACGGCUAAUUCCGUGCCAGCAGCCGCGGUAAUACGGGAGUGGCAAGCGUUAUCCGGAAUUAUUGGGCGUAAAGCGUCCGCAGGCGGUCUUGAAAGUCUGUUGUUAAAGCGUGGAGCUCAACUCCAUUUCAGCAAUGGAAACUAGAAGACUAGAGUGUGGUAGGGGCAGAGGGAAUUCCCGGUGUAGCGGUGAAAUGCGUAGAUAUCGGGAAGAACACCAGUGGCGAAGGCGCUCUGCUGGGCCAUAACUGACGCUCAUGGACGAAAGCCAGGGGAGCGAAAGGGAUUAGAUACCCCUGUAGUCCUGGCCGUAAACGAUGAACACUAGGUGUCGGGGGAAUCGACCCCCUCGGUGUCGUAGCCAACGCGUUAAGUGUUCCGCCUGGGGAGUACGCACGCAAGUGUGAAACUCAAAGGAAUUGACGGGGGCCCGCACAAGCGGUGGAGUAUGUGGUUUAAUUCGAUGCAACGCGAAGAACCUUACCAGGGUUUGACAUCCUGCGAAUCCCUUGGAAACUUGGGAGUGCCUUCGGGAGCGCAGUGACAGGUGGUGCAUGGCUGUCGUCAGCUCGUGUCGUGAGAUGUUGGGUUAAGUCCCGCAACGAGCGCAACCCACGUCUUUAGUUGCCAGCAUUAAGUUGGGCACUCUAGAGAGACUGCCGGUGAUAAACCGGAGGAAGGUGUGGAUGACGUCAAGUCAUCAUGCCCCUUACAUCCUGGGCUACACACGUACUACAAUGCUACGGACAAAGGGCAGCAAGCUCGCGAGAGCUAGCCAAUCCCAUAAACCGUGGCUCAGUUCAGAUCGUAGGCUGCAACUCGCCUACGUGAAGGAGGAAUCGCUAGUAAUCGCAGGUCAGCAUACUGCGGUGAAUACGUUCCCGGGCCUUGUACACACCGCCCGUCACACCAUGGAAGUUGGCCACGCCCGAAGUCGUUACUCCAACCCGCAAGGGAGGAGGAUGCCGAAGGUGGGGCUGAUGACUGGGGUGAAGUC